GAAGGAACGUGGGGGUGGAAUAUUGCCCCCGUCGAACGUGACAACCAGCUAGGGAGGAAGGAGGAGACAGAAGGUUGCGACGAUCCGUGGCAGAAGCGGGGCGGGGGGCGACGUUGGGAGCCCCCCCAGUGCAACGCUGUGACGGCCUGGUGGUGUCGGGACGGGGGGGGGGUGGAACCUUGCAACAUGGCGGCGGGACAGACCCACGCGUGAUCUGGGGCUCAGAACUCCCCCCCCCCCCCCACCUGCGCGAUCUCUCAAGCGGGCGGCAGCUGUGCUGGGAGAGUGCCCCGCCCGCGAAACAGGAUGGGGACGGGAUCGGUGCGUCUUUCACCGGGCUUUGCCCCCACUCCUGCAGGCAGCACCCAGGCCCUGGGCCUGUCCCGAUGCAGUUGGCAGAGCGGCUGUCCCCUGGUUGUCAGAUCUGAGCCCAAUGUCCCAGCGCGGCGCUAGGGGGCGCUGUGCUGCAGACAGCGACACGGGGGUGCCCAGGACUGGCCCCAAUGCCCCAGGGCAGUGAUAGGGGGUACUGUGCUGCAGGGAGUGGAGUGGGGGUGCUCUCCCAGGGCAGUCAGUGGCCCCAAUGCAUCAGCGCUAGGGAGCGCUGUGCUGCAGGGGGGGAAGCAAUUCCCUGGCAGUCAGGGCUGGACCCAGUGCUCCAGCGCGGCACUAGGGAGCGCUGUGCUGCAAGGGGUGGGAGCUCCCCUGGCAAUCAGGGCUGGACCCAGUGCCCCAGUGUGCUGUGGCAGUGUUGUGAAUCCACGCUUUGGGAUACCUUUUUCUCUUAGCUCUACCUCUCCAGCUAAACUUCAGCAUGAAUUACUCCAUCCGACUUCUCCAAAGCCUCCUAGAUAAAGCUGUCUUCACUUCCUGUCCUAAACGGCCGUGUCUCUUUCACUUUGCGCCCUAUCACAGAUUUACCCACGGGAGCUCCCAGCCCUUGCUACAUUUCCAAGCAAACCACCCAGCUCAAGUGGUUUGAUUCUUCCAGGACAUAUCUCCAAACCCGCUCCCAACUGAUUCUCGUUCCCGUCCUGCUUUUCAAAUCCCUUUGGAAACAAAGAAGAUGAUCUAACAACUUACGUGGCUGCAAACCACGGCAUAACAAGAACCAGUGGCUGGACAUUAGAGACAGACAAAUUCCAGCUGGAAAUAAGGCACUGGUUUUUCUCCCUGAGAGGGAUUAACCAUUGAAACAAACUGCCUGGGGAAGUGUUGGUUAAUCCUCUCCAUGGCUUCCAGUCAAGGCUGGAUGCCUUUUGAGAUGUUACUGGACUCAGGGCAGGGGGACCAGGGUGAACUCACUGCUCUGGGUUACAAAGGAGGUCAGACUAAAUGAUGUAAUGGUCCCUUCUGCCGUUGGACUGGCUGAAGUUGAAUUUUGAAAAUGCAGGUGAUUCACAAUUUUCAUGGCUGCAUCAUCGAAACAUUUCCUGAAUUUAUCCUGCCUCCUCUGAAGUGGGGAAAUACUAGCCCACUUUUAUAGGUGGGGAAACGGAGGCAAAAAGAGAGGCUCACCCAGGGAGUCGUAGAGCCAGGAAUUGAACCCACAGCUCCUGAGCCCCACUUCUGCCACCAGGCCAGCUUUCCCCACUGACCCCUUGUGAUCACGCUCAGCUGAGAGGCCAAUGAUUGAAGAGGCAGAGACUGAUGACAUGUCUCAUCCCAGGUCAGGCAUGAGGCAAUUACAGGGGAAGAUGGCCAUGUGACUGGGACUUAGGCGUUCUGGGUUUGAUUCCCAGCUCUGCUAGAGACAUUGGCAAGUCACCUCAUUUGUGCCUUAGUUUCCCCUUCUCUAAAAUGAGAAUAAUUUUGCCUUUGUCUAGACAGAUGGUAAGUUCUUUGGAGAUGGUCUCUCACUGUGUGUCUGGGCAGCACCUGGAACAACAGGGCCCCGAUCGCAGCUGGGGCAGGGCCAGUCUCUGUCUGUCUGGGCAGCGCCUGGUACAACAGAAUCCUGACUUGGGGUUUCCAGCAAUAUAUAAACAGUAACAGUUUUGUCCUGUGCUGGUCCUGUGUUAAAGAUGCUGUCCUGGGCUCUUAACCCCAGUACUUCUGAUCAACUAGUAUAUUUCCCUGUUUGCAGUAUGUCAUACUGAUACUUUCCAACAGCCGCUACAUUUGCUCAUUUAAAAGAAAACAGAAGAAAUAAAAUAUCUCUGUGGAGCAAUUGUUUCCUGUU